CAAAUGUUUGAACAUUACCUAACUGCAUGUUUUUGUUGCUUGGUGCUAAAACAUAGUUCAUCUAUUAACACUAUCCAUGCUGUUAACCCAACAUGCAAUAUUGUAUCAACUUUACAAUGGCAUUUGCUGCAGUUUUGUCAUUGUAGAUUACUAAGAUAAUGUUUUAAUAAUCUGGUCACAUACCUGAGCCUAUGGAAGUAAUAAAAUGAAUAAAUAAACUAGUGUUGUUAUGUUUUAUAGUUUUUCUUUGACAAAACAGUUUAACAAUUUUCUAAAAUUUAACUUGUUCAUGAAAUAAAAACAAAAAAAAAACACAA